ensembl:snoRNA
AAUCCAGCCAAUUAGUCUGCUCAUCUGAAUGUGUUUCCACAGAAAUUUAGAAACAGCUGACAAUAUUGAUGCCAUUUUACAAACGUUAAGGACAACUGAGGUCAUUACAGUCCCUCAAAAUGGCUGUAAUA